rnacentral:rRNA from 1 species
UACAGAGGUCCCAAGCGUUGUUCGGAUUCACUGGGCGUAAAGGGUGCGCAGGUGGUCGGGUAAGUCUGAUGUGAAAUCCCGCAGCUUAACUGCGGAAUGGCAUUGGAUACUAUUCGGCUAGAGGGUUGGAGGGGGGACUGGAAUUCUCGGUGUAGCAGUGAAAUGCGCAGAUAUCAGGAGGAACACCAAUGGCGAAGGCAGCUCGCUGGAACGGUACUGACGCUGAGGCGCGAAAGCGUGGGGAGCGAACAGG